CUUGGUCAUUUAGAGGAAGUAAAAGUCGUAACAAGGUCUCCGUUGGUGAACCAGCGGAGGGAUCAUUACCGAGUUUACAACUCCCAAACCCCCUGUGAACCUAUACCAUUACUGUUGCUUCGGCGGGUCAUUGCCCCGGGGAAAGGACGAGGUGCCGCCUAGGCUCCCCGGCCCGCCCCCGGAAACAGGCGCCUGCCGGGGGAAUCAAACUCUUCUGUAUUUUUUACUUUUACUGUUAUACUGUCUGAGUACAAAACUAUAAAUGAAUCAAAACUUUCAACAACGGAUCUCUUGGUUCUGGCAUCGAUGAAGAACGCAGCGAAAUGCGAUAAGUAAUGUGAAUUGCAGAAUUCAGUGAAUCAUCGAAUCUUUGAACGCACAUUGCGCCCGCCAGUAUUCUGGCGGGCAUGCCUGUUCGAGCGUCAUUACAACCCUCAAGUCCCCUGUGGACUUGGUGUUGGGGACCGGCGACACGCAGCUGUGUUUUUCUCACAGUUGGUUCGCCGCCCCCUAAAUGACUUGACGGCCCCGUCUUAGGCUACCCCUCUGCGUAGUAGAACACACCUCGCAACAGGAAGCCCGGCGAAUGGCCACUGCCGUAAAACCCCCCAACUUCUUUCAGAGUUGACCUCGAAUCAGGUAGGAAUACCCGCUGAACUUAAGCAUAUCAAUAAGCGGAGGA
rnacentral:rRNA from 1 species